CCGCUUCGGCUGCCCCUUAUCAUCGGGCAGGCUGGCUGACUCACUGCUGUGGUGGGGAGAGGGAAAGACUUCACAUGGAGAGAGGAGUGUGGAAUCAAAUGACAAAUAAGAUUUCAGGAGCGUAUUUCAGUGAAAACAUUUCUGGGCGUUAGUGAUUACUGCAUGCAGCCUCCUGAGGAGGGCGCUAUACAGAAGACCAGCGUGGUUCAUCAUUUCUUGCAAAC